GACGAACGCUGGCGGCGCGCUUAAUACAUGCAAGUCGAGCGAGAACCAGGGCUUCGGCCCUGGGGACAGCGGCGAACGGGUGAGUAACACGUGGGUAAUCAACCCCCGACACCGGGAUAGCCCAGGGAAACUUGGAUUAAUACCGGAUGCUCCGUCUGGCCUUCGGGCCGGCCGGAAAAGGGUAGCUUCGGCCUCCGGUCGGGGACGAGCCCGCGGCGGAUUAGCUUGUUGGUGAGGUAAAGGCUCACCAAGGCGACGAUCCGUAGCUGGUCUGAGAGGACGAUCAGCCACACUGGGACUGAGACACGGCCCAGACUCCUACGGGAGGCAGCAGUAGGGAAUCUUGCGCAAUGGGCGAAAGCCUGACGCAGCGACGCCGCGUGAGGGAAGAAGGCCUUCGGGUUGUAAACCUCUUUCAGGAGGGACGAAGCCACUCGGGUUAAUAGCCUAGAGGGUGACGGUACCUCCAGAAGAAGCCCCGGCUAACUACGUGCCAGCAGCCGCGGUAAUACGUAGGGGGCAAGCGUUGUCCGGAUUUAUUGGGCGUAAAGAGCGUGUAGGCGGCCUUACAGGUCAGCUGUGAAAACUCGAGGCUCAACCUCGAGACGUCGGUUGAAACCGUAAGGCUAGAGUCCGGAAGAGGAGAGUGGAAUUCCCGGUGUAGCGGUGAAAUGCGCAGAUAUCGGGAAGAACACCCGUGGCGAAGGCGGCUCUCUGGGACGGUACUGACGCUGAGACGCGAAAGCGUGGGGAGCGAACAGGAUUAGAUACCCUGGUAGUCCACGCCGUAAACGAUGGGCACUAGGUGUGGCGGGUAUCGACUCCCGCUGUGCCGAAGCUAACGCAUUAAGUGCCCCGCCUGGGGAGUACGGCCGCAAGGCUA
rnacentral:rRNA from 1 species